rnacentral:rRNA from 1 species
UACGGAGGGUGCGAGCGUUGUCCGGAAUCACUGGGCGUAAAGGGCGCGUAGGCGGCGCGGUAAGCGUGCGGUGAAAGCCCGGGGCUCAACCCCGGGUCGGCCGUGCGAACUGCCGCGCUCGAGCCCACUAGAGGCAGGCGGAAUUCCGGGUGUAGCGGUGGAAUGCGUAGAGAUCCGGAAGAACACCGGUGGCGAAGGCGGCCUGCUGGGGUGGAGCUGACGCUGAGGCGCGACAGCGUGGGGAGCAAACAGGAUUAGAAACCCCCGUAGUCC